rnacentral:rRNA from 1 species
AUGGAGCUAGAUCUGAGUGAUUAUCUGGCUACGGGCUGGCGCUGCUCUGCGCACGCUAUAGGCCCGGGGGGGUUUGUGGUGCGUUUUCCUAAUCCUCGAGUUGUUGCACAGAUCUGCUAUGUGGGGAAAGUGACUCUCAGAACUAGUGGGGCUGUUAUUCACGCCACGCAGUGGUCGUCUACUAUUGGGGCAAAGGGUGUGAUGGAAGUAGCUUGGGUGAGAAUCAGCAAUGUCCCUCUUGACAAGAGAAGUGAGAGAAACCUCGCGUAUGUUGCAUCUUUAGUGGGGGUUCCGCUGGAAAUUGACGCUGCGACGCUGCACCGCCCAUCCUCUGCUCGGGUGCGGUUGGGAUGCAGAAAUGUCAAUGAAAUUCCUGUGGUUGCUGAAGCUGUUCUGGGUGGGCACUUCUACAAUUUCUUUUAUGAAGUGGAUCAGGUUCUGGUGAGAGACCCUGAUAGAGAGAAAAAUACAAUUCAUAUGCCUUCUGAUUGGGAGAAGAAGUCUACCAUUGGGUCCACUCCUCGGUCGAAUCCUGGAGCUAUGCAGGGUAGUUUACCUACUGGGCUUGGGGGAAAAUCUUCUCCCAUUCCCCAGGGGGAAAAACUGACCCCAUUCGGGAUUCGCGGGAGUGUGGAAUCUGAUGAGUCAAUGCACACUACUUUGCUACUGGAAACCAUGGCUCAGGAGAUGGAGCAGGGUGAAAAAAUUGUGGAGGUGGAUACUAUAAAUGACGCAAUUCUGAAAAUUGUCACUAAUUACACGGUCAAGUCACCCGAGACUGGAAUGGACACUGAGAACAAGAUGGAGAGAGUGGAGGAAAAAGCCAUGGCAGCAGCUAAGAAGAGAGACAUUGAAGGGCUGAUGAGCGGAGCCGAUCGCGAGGCGAUGGAGCGCGGAGCCAAGAUGCUGAAGACCAACGCGUCGAACCUGAUGUGUAUCUGUGCGGCACCGGGGAACGCAAUGAAGGGGUGA